CGUGGUAAGAACGUGGUAUGAUCGCAGUAAGAUCGUGUUGCAAUCGGAUAACUCGUGGUAUGGUCGUAGUGAGAACGUGAAGAGCGUAGAAAGAUCUUGAUAAGCGUAGAGAGGUCGCAGAAUAAGCGCAGUGAGAACGUGGUAUAAUCGUAGCGGGAUCUUUGUAGAAGCGUAGAGAGAACGUAGUAGCAUCGUGAAAGCAACGAAAAUUUACAUUUUCAUGCCGCUCAUACCGCGACCUCACCACGAUGUAAAUUUAUUU
rnacentral:lncRNA from 1 species